ACGGGAGGCAGCAGUGGGGAAUAUUGCACAAUGGGGGAAACCCUGAUGCAGCGACGCCGCGUGAGUGAAGAAGUAUUUCGGUAUGUAAAGCUCUAUCAGCAGGGAAGAAAAUGACGGUACCUGACUAAGAAGCCCCGGCUAACUACGUGCCAGCAGCCGCGGUAAUACGUAGGGGGCAAGCGUUAUCCGGAUUUACUGGGUGUAAAGGGAGCGUAGACGGUAAUGCAAGUCAGAAGUGAAAGCCCAGGGCUCAACCGUGGGACUGCUUUUGAAACUGUAAUACUGGAGUGCAGGAGAGGUAAGUGGAAUUCCUAGUGUAGCGGUGAAAUGCGUAGAUAUUAGGAGGAACACCAGUGGCGAAGGCGGCUUACUGGACUGUAACUGACGUUGAGGCUCGAAAGCGUGGGGAGCAAACAGGAUUAGAUACCCUGGUA
rnacentral:rRNA from 1 species